GUCAGAGCGGUAGAGAGAAGCUUGCUUCUCUUGAGAGCGGCGGACGGGUGAGUAAUGCCUAGGAAUCUGCCUGGUAGUGGGGGAUAACGUUCGGAAACGGACGCUAAUACCGCAUACGUCCUACGGGAGAAAGCAGGGGACCUUCGGGCCUUGCGCUAUCAGAUGAGCCUAGGUCGGAUUAGCUAGUUGGUGGGGUAAUGGCUCACCAAGGCGACGAUCCGUAACUGGUCUGAGAGGAUGAUCAGUCACACUGGAACUGAGACACGGUCCAGACUCCUACGGGAGGCAGCAGUGGGGAAUAUUGGACAAUGGGCGAAAGCCUGAUCCAGCCAUGCCGCGUGUGUGAAGAAGGUCUUCGGAUUGUAAAGCACUUUAAGUUGGGAGGAAGGGCAGUUACCUAAUACGUGAUUGUUUUGACGUUACCGACAGAAUAAGCACCGGCUAACUCUGUGCCAGCAGCCGCGGUAAUACAGAGGGUGCAAGCGUUAAUCGGAAUUACUGGGCGUA
rnacentral:rRNA from 1 species